GUUUGGCAAUUGUACUUGUGUAAUUCUUUUUCUGUAGUAGUAUUUUGGUUCUACUGUCCAUUGUGUUCAGGAUAAAAACCAAGAUCUCUCUGAGGCUGUUGUUUUGGAUGAUUAACUUCAUAAUUAACAAAAUACAUACUUGACCAGUACUACACCGUUAUCAGAUUUUACUCCCAAUGAAAUAAAUCAUUUUCUUAGUCAGUGUUUAAAAGUAGUUACACAUGCAGUUUACAUUUGAUGAUAACACAAACCUUAAUGUUAGCUCUUUAAAACGAUUGAAAUAAGUAUGCAGACUCCUUGCUCAUUUCUUAAAAAAAGCUCAAAUGUGUUUAUAACUUUAGGAAAGGAGUUCAAUGUGACCUUUACUUUCUGUUAGAAGGUGUAAGUUAAGUUCUACCACAAAUGAAGCUUCAGGAGAUUAUCACUGAGUUAGUGUCAUUAUUUUACAGGUAUUCUGGAAUUAUUAUUUUACCAUAUUCAUUUUUGUUUCUAACUCCUACCUUUAUCUGAGCAAUAAAAUUUUUAUCCCAACUUUGUUUCUUUUUUUCUUUUGCCAUUUGAAAUAGUACACCUAAGAACUACUAGCUCUUGGACAUGUUCUUCAAUAUAACCCUCUGCGAGUUCACCCGACAGGCCUUUUGUAUUGAUUAUCUGACAUGGAACUAUUUAGUAGCCACAUCAUGUAUUUUCACAUUGACGUAUGAUAAAAAGUUCAUGACACAUGAUUCUUUGUCAUGAACUUUUUGCUUUUGACAUCAAAUUCUUUUUCACCUUCAUUAUCAAGUUAAAAGAAAAUAUUCGUUCUCAUCAUUCAACAAUCUUUUCCUUCACUUGAAAUUUGUUAAAUGUUGCAGGGAAUUUUAAGAGACCUUUCUAAAGUUCCAGCUCCGGGAGCUCAAGACCAAGCUGCAAAAUCUGGCGAACAGAGCAAUGGUGAACCUAGUGGCUCGGAUGCCAUGGCUACUGCUGCUGCUAUGAUCACUCCAAGCGGCGAAAGCACAUUGGUGACUGCUGAACGGUGAGGGAGAACUUCUUUGCAGUUAUUGUGGUGGCAACUAAUGUUGAAUUGAGAUGAAUAAUUGAGAUUCAUCCGUUGUACCAUCCGCCAAAAUUAGAAUGUACAUAGUAAAAUAUUGUACUCUUAGGCAUCCGACAUUGUUUUUUAAGAGUUUUAGCGUUUUAUUCUGGUGUUCAAAUGUAAUUGAAAUCUGGAAAUUGUGUUACAAAUCGAUACACCCUUGGGUUUAUGACUACAAAUGUUGCAGAUCA